GCAAACCCAGCCACUGAAGCAGAGUAUGCCGAACCUAACCACUAGGCCAUGAAACCAGCCCAGGAGAGACAGUAAGUCCUGUUCUGGGCAAGGAAGCCUUGUUUCUUCACUGAACCCCAGCAUCGGGCACGGAGCUGGAAUGCAGCAGGUUCCCAGUCAACACGGGGGAACGGGAAGGAAAACCCUGCCCUGAGAGGCUACGAUCUACUUAACAAGGAGAGUGGCCAGUGCCUAAGAGGCAACAGGAGUUCAAAGGAGAAGAAACAACUCCUGGCUUGGUUUCCUGAAGGAGGAACAUUUGCGGAGACCUUGAGAAACGCAGACAUGCCAACACAGUCUUUUCAGUUGGGUUUAGAAGCAGUGUGAAGAAGAGGCAGGAAAAUUCAGGGCAGGUCCCACAAACUGCUCAGUGUGUCUGAAGCGUGGGCUCAUGAAGGGCAGAGCAGAUGAGACAACCAUGCCACCCACAACCAUCAUGCGUGGGGAAGGGAUCCUGGGUUUUGCAGAACAUCAAAAAAAGAAAUUCUAGAACUUUACAGCCCUUUUAUAAUUCCACUGCAAGAAACCUUUCCUUAUGUCAAUCUUACAUUAUUUCUAUUUUAAUAUUAGUCUUUCCCUGUUGCUUUGCUCUCAGAGGACUAAGAUCCCCUAAUCACGAUCCUCUGUAAAAGGAGGCUUUGCAGCUUUAAAAAAUCAUUCUGAAGUAUCGUAAAACUGUAUAUUAUAUAAGAAAGGAAGUUUCUUCACAGACCAACAGUGUAUGCUAUGUGAAAACCUGAGACCAGUCCCCUGAUCACCUUUGUGGUCAGAUGCUACACAGUUGCUUUCUCAUUACACCAAAUUAUUUCUAGUUUUCAGGCUGGGAUAAUAAAUCACGUAAAUUUUA